AUUGAACGCUGGCGGCAGGCUUAACACAUGCAAGUCGAGCGGGGGAAGUCGCUUCGGUAAUUGACCUAGCGGCGGACGGGUGAGUAAUACUUAGGAAUCUGCCUAUUAAUGGGGGACAACAUCUCGAAAGGGAUGCUAAUACCGCAUACGCCCUACGGGGGAAAGCAGGGGAUCACUUGUGACCUUGCGUUAAUAGAUGAGCCUAAGUCGGAUUAGCUAGUUGGUGGGGUAAAGGCCUACCAAGGCGACGAUCUGUAGCGGGUCUGAGAGGAUGAUCCGCCACACUGGGACUGAGACACGGCCCAGACUCCUACGGGAGGCAGCAGUGGGGAAUAUUGGACAAUGGGGGGAACCCUGAUCCAGCCAUGCCGCGUGUGUGAAGAAGGCCUUAUGGUUGUAAAGCACUUUAAGCGAGGAGGAGGCUCUUUUGGUUAAUACCCAAGAUGAGUGGACGUUACUCGCAGAAUAAGCGCCGGCUAACUCUGUGCCAGCAGCCGCCGUAAGAC
rnacentral:rRNA from 1 species